CCUUCCCUGGUUGCGAUGGAGUCGGUGCGGGCGGCGCGGCUGCAGCCGGGGCUGGGCUCGCUGCGCUCCCUGCGCCCGGGGGUCACCGGGGCCCCGGCCCCGCCGCCCGGCCCAGCGGCAGCGCUGCCAGCAGCGGCUCCGGGGCUGGGGCUGGGGCUGCCGCCGCCGCCGCCCCCGCUGGGGCUGCAGGGACCCGCCGCGCCGCCGCUGCCCGGCUGCGGGCCGCCCGCUGUGCUGCGGGAGGCGGUGGAGGCCGUGGUGAGGAGCUUCGCCAAGCACACGCAGGGCUACGGCCGCGUGAACGUCGUGGAGGCCCUUCAGGAGUUCUGGCAGAUGAAGCAGUCACGCGGCGCUGACCUGAAGAACGGAGCCCUCGUGGUGUACGAGAUGGUCCCUUCCAACAGCCCCCCUUACGUCUGCUACGUCACCCUGCCUGGGGGCAGUUGCUUCGGCAGCUUCCAGUUCUGUCCCACCAAGGCUGAAGCCCGGAGGAGCGCUGCCAAGAUCGCGUUGAUGAAUUCCGUGUUCAAUGAGCACCCUUCCCGACGGAUCACGGAUGAGUUCAUUGAGAAGAGUGUUUCUGAGGCUCUGGCAUCCUUCAAUGGCAAUCGAGAGGAAGCUGAUAAUCCCAACACCGGGAUUGGUGCCUUCCGCUUCAUGCUGGAAUCUAACAAGGGGAAAUCGAUGCUGGAGUUCCAGGAGCUGAUGACCGUGUUCCAGUUGCUGCAUUGGAACGGCAGCCUCAAAGCCAUGCGGGAGAGGCAGUGCUCACGGCAGGAGGUCCUGGCUCACUAUUCCCACCGUGCUCUGGAUGAUGACAUAAGGAACCAGAUGGCCAUGGACUGGGUGAACCGGGAGCAGAGCAGCCCGGGGGCUCUUUCCAGGGAGCUGGCAUCCACGGAGCGGGAGCUGGAUGAAGCCCGCCUGGCUGGGAAGGAGCUGCGCUUCCAUAAGGAGAAGAAAGACAUCCUGAUGCUGGCUGCUGGCCAGCUGGGAAGCACACACUCCUCCAGCUGCUAGGCUCCAGUGCUGGCAUCCCAAUUCCCAAUGGGAUCCAGCCCUAAUGCAUGUUCCCAACUUCUGGCCCAUUUGCACAGCGAAGAGGAAUUGGAAAGGGAAAAGCUCCUUUAGAGAUCUCAAAACCAUGUUGUAAUACUUUGCUUCCAGCUCUGCUCCUCCUGCUCUGGUGGUAUUCCAGAGGCGGCAGCAUUCCAGGGAUUUAGCACUUCUUGGAGCACAGACCUGCUUUCUGGUGCUGUUCUGCUUCUAGAAUAGAGGGGGCUCUAUCAACCCCCUUCACAACAAGUUCAAGCCCAGAGGGGAAAAGCUCCUGAGCAUGGCAAAAGGGACUUAAACCGGGAUCUUGUCUGGCCAGGCUUAAACAUGGGAAUCCGGCAUUCCAGGCUUGGGAUUUGCAGCCCUGCUCUGGCUCUUCAUGCCCAGGGUGGGCUGUAGUGCAUUAACAACCACGCCAUAUGGUGCUUAAGGGGGGUUUAAUUCAUCUCCUGCCCUGCUCCUCCUUAAUCCUUGUUGGAUGCUUGGAGUGUUGAACCCAAAUCCCAGCUGCAGCUGGGAAUUCUGCUGGCAAUGGAGGGUUUGGGUUUCCAGGUGAGUGUUUGAUGCUCAAAGGAGGUGGAUGUUCCUUCUGGAGCAUCCUUCCCAAGCCAGCUUCCAAAGGCCUAGCUAGGCUUCCCAUGGGAAGCAGGGAAUGGGGAGCCCUGGGAAUGCCAGGACUUCAAAUCAGGUCUGGUUCCCUGCAGCUGGGGUUAAGUCCCAGUUAACCAGAGCUGGGUUUAAGUCUUGCUAAACCAGAACUCAUUUAAAGUCUUGCUUAACCAGAGCAUGUUUUAAGUCUCAGUUAACUAGAACUGAUUUUAAGUCUUCCUUAACCAGACUGAAGUGUUUAAGUCUCAGUUAACCAGCGCUGUGCUUAAACCUCAGGUAACUGGAACUGAUUUGAAGUGUCAGCUAACUGGAGAUGGGUUUAAGUCUUUGUUAACCAGAUCAGUGUUUAAGCCUUACCUAACCAGAGCUGGGUUUAAGUCUUGCUUAACCAGAGCAGUGUUGAAGUCUCAGUUAACCAGAGCUGUUUACGUCUUGCUUAACCAGAACUCACUUUAAGUCUUGCUUAACCAGAACAGUGUUGAAGUGUCACUUAACUAGAACUGAUUUUAAGUCUUGCUUAAGCAGUGUUUAAGUCUUCCUUAACCAGAACAGUGUUUAAGUCUUACCUAAGCAGAGCUGGGUUUAAGUCUUGCUUAACCAGAACUCACUUUAAGUCUUCGUUAACCAGAGCCAUGUUUAACCCUGAGCCAGGGCUCAGGUCCUGCCCCUUGCUCCCGGCCAUUCCCAAACCCCUUCCUCCUUUUCCAACGCGGGCAGCUGGAAUUCCACCCCCCGCCUUAGCCGUAGCUCCUCCACUUUUGUAAUCUUGUCCUAACAAACCCGGGUUAGUGGGAUUUGUACCUUUUUUAUAUACGCA